UCGACCAAUACGGGAGAGACUGGCCUUCAGGGCUGGCGCCGAAGGAGCAACCGCCCCGGAAACUCUCAGGCCAAAGGACCGAGUUGGUCGG
rnacentral:ncRNA from 2 species